CCUACGGGAGGCAGCAGUGAGGAAUAUUGGUCAAUGGGCGCGAGCCUGAACCAGCCACGUAGCGUGAAUGAUGACUGCCCUACGGGUUGUAAACUUCUUUUAUAAAGGAAUAAAGUGAUGCACGUGUACCUUUUUGUCUGUACUUUAUUAAUAAGGAUCGGCUACCUCCGUGCCAGCAGCCGCGGUAAUACGGAGGAUCCGAGCGUUAUCCGGAUUUGUUGGGUUUAAAGGUAGCGUAGAUGGGUUGUUAAGUCAGUUGUGAAAGUUUGCGGCUCAACCGUAAAAUUGCAAUUGAUACUGGCAGUCUUGAGUACAGUUGAGGUAGGCGGAAUUCGUGGUGUAGCGGUGAAAUGCUUAGAUAUCACGAAGAACUCCGAUUGCGAAGGCAGCUUACUAAACUGCCACUGACAUUGAUGCUCGAAAGUGUGGGUAGCAAACAGGAUUAGAUACCCCAGUAGUC
rnacentral:rRNA from 1 species